rnacentral:tRNA from 3 species
GGGCUCUUAGCUCAGUUGGUAGAGCAGCGGACUCUUAAUCCGUUGGUCGCAGGUUCGAAUCCUGCAGGGCCCACCA